AGCUCAUGCGCUCGGUGGCCCCCGGCCCACAAGCUGACAGAUGAUAUUGAAGACCAUCAGCAUUUCAGAAAAUCAUUCAUAACAUCAAUGAAAACGUCCCAUCUACUCGUUAUGGAACCUUAUAGGUUUGGCAGAUUACAGGGCACUUUUCUCUGACAGCAACAACACCGAAACCUGCCAGCAUGAUGGAUGAACUAAUCCGCUUGUUGAGAAUUGCUUUAACUAUGGUGUAGCUUCUACAGCAAACAGGCACCUGAACAACAAAACACACAAGCAGCCAAAGCAGGAGUGUCGACAGGUCCCCCUCACCUUCUCCGAGGCUGUAUUGCAGGCGGGCGUCCCACGCCAGCAGGGCCUCCUUGCUGUCGAAGCCCAGUAGAGCGGCCUGGUUCAGGCAGAGGA